AUUGAACGCUGGCGGCGUGCUUAACACAUGCAAGUCGAACGAAGUGGCGAACGGGUGAGUAACGCGUAAUCAACCUGCCCUUCAGAGGGGGACAACAGUUGGAAACGACUGCUAAUACCGCAUACUGAAGGAGGGGAUUGUGUCUGAUUAGCUGGUGGGAGGGGUAACUGCCCACCAAGGCGAUGAUCAGUAGCCGGUCUGGGUGGAUGAACGGCAACAUUGGGACUGAAACACGGCCCAGACUCCUACGGGAGGCAGCAAUGGGGAAUCUUCCGCAAUGGGCGGAAGUCUGACGGAGCAACGCCGCGUGAGUGGUGACGGCCUUCGGGUUGGAAAGCUCUGUUAAUCGGGACGCGGUACCGGAAUAGAAAGCCACGGCUAACUACGUGCCAGCAGCCGCGGUAAUUC
rnacentral:rRNA from 1 species